UACGGAGGGGGCUAGCGUUGUUCGGAAUUACUGGGCGUAAAGCGCACGUAGGCGGCUUUGUAAGUUAGAGGUGAAAGCCCAGGGCUCAACCCUGGAAUUGCCUUUAAGACUGCAUCGCUUGAACAUCGGAGAGGUAAGUGGAAUUCCGAGUGUAGAGGUGAAAUUCGUAGAUAUUCGGAAGAACACCAGGUGGCGAAGGCGACUUACUGGACGAUUGUUGACGCUGAGGUGCGAAAGCGUGGGGAGCAAACAGG
rnacentral:rRNA from 1 species